rfam:Dipodomys ordii contig_38575, whole genome shotgun sequence.
GGUGGCUCAGUGGUAGAGUGCUUGCCUUGCAUGCAUGAGGCCCUGGGUUCAAUUCCUCAGCACCG